GGGGGGGGGGGGGGGGGGGGGGGGGGGGGGGGGGGCGGGGGGGGGGGGGGAGCGGGCGCCUGGGUUCAGCGGCGGAGGGGGGGGUCAGGCCUAGGAAGCUGCCUGGUCGGGGGGGCAAACGGCGGGAAACGGGCGCUAAUCCCGCAUACGGCCGGGGGGGGGAAGGGGGGGGUAUUCGGACCCCACGCAAGCAGAUCGGCCUAGGUCGGAUUAGCUAGUUGGUGGGGUCAAGGCCUACCAAGGCGACGAUCCGUAACUGGUCUGAGAGGAUGAUCAGUCACACUGGAACUGAGACACGGUCCAGACUCCUACGGGAGGCGGCAGUGGGGAAUAUUGGACAAUGGGCGAAAGCCUGAUCCAGCCAUGCCGCGUGUGUGAAGAAGGUCUUCGGAUUGUAAAGCACUUUAAGUUGGGAGGAAGGGCAGUAAGUUAAUACCUUGCUGUUUUGACGUUACCAACAGAAUAAGCACCGGCUAACUUCGUG
rnacentral:rRNA from 1 species